GUCGCUAGCUCAGUUGGUAGAGCAACGGACUUUUAAUCCGCAGGUCCCGGGUUCGAGCCCCGGGCGACCCA
rnacentral:tRNA from 1 species